rnacentral:rRNA from 1 species
CGCGGCCUAUCAGCUUGUUGGUGGGGUAAUGGCCUACCAAGGCGACGACGGGUAGCCGACCUGAGAGGGUGAUCGGCCACACUGGGACUGAGACACGGCCCAGACUCCUACGGGAGGCAGCAGUGGGGAAUAUUGCACAAUGGGCGCAAGCCUGAUGCAGCGACGCCGCGUGAGGGAUGACGGCCUUCGGGUUGUAAACCUCUUUCAGCAGGGACGAAGCGCGAGUGACGGUACCUGCAGAAGAAGCACCGGCCAACUACGUGCCAGCAGCCGCGGUAAUACGUAGGGUGCGAGCGUUGUCCGGAAUUACUGGGCGUAAAGAGCUCGUAGGCGGUUUGUCGCGUCGUCUGUGAAAUUCUGCAGCUUAACUGCAGGCGUGCAGGCGAUACGGGCAGACUUGAGUACUACAGGGGAGACUGGAAUUCCUGGUGUAGCGGUGAAAUGCGCAGAUAUCAGGAGGAACACCGGUGGCGAAGGCGGGUCUCUGGGUAGUAACUGACGCUGAGGAGCGAAAGCGUGGGUAGCGAACAGGAUUAGAUACCCUGGUAGUCCACGCCGUAAACGGUGGGUACUAGGUGUGGGUUCCAUUUCACGGGAUCCGUGCCGUAGCUAACGCAUUAAGUACCCCGCCUGGGGAGUACGG